UGCGCCAAGAUUGUCUAAAGCCCCAGGAAAAAUGGUGGAAAAUUCACCGUCGCCAUUGCCAGAAAGAGCGAUUUAUGGCUUUGUUCUUUUCUUAAGCUCCCAGUUUGGCUUAAAUAUUGGGCAGUUGCAUUACCUGUCUACCUCCUUAUUACUAUAGUAAUUGGCUACGUGCUCUUGUUUGUGAUUAACAUGAUGAGUACCUCUCCACUCGACUCCAUUCAUACAAUCACAGAUAACUAUGCUAAAAAUCAACAGCAGAAGAAAUACCAAGAGGAAGCCAUUCCAGCAUUAACAGAUAUUUCUAUUAGUGAAGUAAACCAGGUGUUCUUUCUUGCAGCCAAAGAACUUUACACCAAAAACUGAACUGUAUGUAACCAUACUAACACCAAGCACGUAUUUAUUUAUAAGUUUUUGCCAUUAUAAUUUUGGCCAUAAA